rnacentral:precursor_RNA from 9 species
UCCCAAUUCAACGGAUUAUUGUGAUUAUCAUGGGAUAAUUGGUCGGCAUUGUGGUGUAAUUGAUGUAUAAUGCCCCCAAUUAUACCAACAUAUAUCAUAAUGUAUACAUUGUUUUAAAA